rnacentral:rRNA from 1 species
CCUACGGGAGGCAGCAGUGGGGAAUAUUGCACAAUGGGGGAAACCCUGAUGCAGCGACGCCGCGUGAAGGAAGAAGUCUUUCGGUAUUUAAACUUCUAUCAGCAGGGGAGAAAAUGACGGUACCUGACUAAAGAGCCCCGGCUAACUACGUGCCAGAAGCCGCGGUAAUACGUAGGGGGCAAGCGUUAUCCGGAUUUACUGGGUGUUAAGGGAGCGUAGGCGGUGGAGCAAGUCAGAAGUGAAAUCCAUGAGCUUAACCCAUGAACUGCCAUUGAAACUGUCGAGCUAGAGAGAAGUAGAGGUAGGCGGAAUGUAUGGUGUAGCGGUGAAAUGCGUAGAGAUCGGGAGGAACACCAGUGGCGAAGGCGGCCUACCGGGCUUUAACUGACGUUGAGGCACGAAAGCGUGGGUAGCAAACAGGAUUAGAUACCCUGGUAGUC